rnacentral:rRNA from 1 species
CCUACGGGGGGCAGCAGUAGGGAAUAUUGCACAAUGGGGGGAACCCUGAUGCAGCGACGCCGCGUGGGUGAAGGAGCGUUUCGGCGCGUAAAGCCCUAUCGGCAGGGAAGAAGAUGACGGUACCUGACCAAGAAGCCCCGGCUAACUACGUGCCAGCAGCCGCGGUAAUACGUAGGGGGCAAGCGUUAUCCGGAUUUAUUGGGUUUAACGGGUGCGUAGGGGGGCUUUUAAGUCAGCGGUAAAAAUUCGGGGCUCAACCCCGUCCGGCCGUUGAAACUGGGGGCCUUGAGUGGGCGAGAAGAAGG